rnacentral:rRNA from 1 species
AGUGAACGCUGGCGGUAGGCCUAACACAUGCAAGUCGAACGGCAGCACAGUAAGAGCUUGCUCUUACGGGUGGCGAGUGGCGGACGGGUGAGGAAUACAUCGGAAUCUACUUUUUCGUGGGGGAUAACGUAGGGAAAUUUACGCUAAUACCGCAUACGACCUACGGGUGAAAGCAGGUGAUCUUCUGACCUUGCGCGAUUGAAUGAUCCGAUGUCGGAUUAGAUAGUUGGCGGGGUACAGGCCCACCAAGGCGACGAUCCGUAGCUGGUCUGAGAGGAUGAUCACCCACCCUGGCAGUGAGACACGGUCCAGACUCCUACGCGAGGCAGCAGUGGGGAAUAUUGGACAAAGGGCGCAAGACUGAUCCAGCCAUACCGCGUGGGUGAAGAAGGGCUUCGGGUUGUAAAGCCCUUUUGUUGGGAAAGACAAGCAGCACAUUAAUACCCCGCUGUUCUGACGGUACCCAAAGAAUAAGCACCGGCUAACUUCGUG